GAUCCUCAUCUAAUCUGAAGUCUGCAUUUUUACUACCAAAUAAAAUUUUCAUGACAGUCUCCUAGUUCUCCUUCACACCAUCAUGGGAGCCCCUCUCCCUGGCUGGGAGUUUUCUCCCCUCUUCUGUGUGCCAGAGCACUUUCUUCUGACCUGCUUUUGAGGGCAGACAUCCUCCGAACUGUAUUAUAUCUUUGUUCAUAAUUUAAUAGGCUUCAAAUACCUUCAGCACCUAGAAAACUCAUCUCUCUGCUUCCCUUAAAUGAACAAAAGUGCAUAUUGCUUUCAGAGAAUAAGAGCUCUUCUUGUCUCCUCACUUCUGUGCUGGGAGUGCAAACGGCUGCAAGUCUGCCCAGCGCUCUGGACAGUCCGGGACCCCCACUGCCGACCGCUGGGCGGCACUGCCCUCCUCCGCCGAGCAGCUGACAUUUGUGCCACCCUCAUGAGGACCUUCCGGUGACUUCACGGAGGGGUUUGGUUUUGUCCUGUAUGUCAGUCUGAAAAUUGUGUUCUUUUGACAUGGUGUUGGGAAAAGGAAAGCUUCCUCUAAAAAUCCCCUGGAAGGCAAAUUAUGCCCCUUACCUGCAGAAGAUAUGGCCAGCAACAAAGGAGUCUUCUUCCUAAAGAGAACACAAUUCGCUGGGCAUGCAUGAGAUGCUGAGAUGGAUACCAAGGUGGGAAUCCCCACCGCCGACCCAUCCCAAACCCAUAGUCUUCUCUGAGCCUCACCUGCCUCUCAGGUUCAGACUCAGGGGUGGCAGAGCUUGGGGAAUAGUCUCUGGCUGGGAUAAUUUAGAGCUGUGGCUCGAGCUUGAAGAGAUGGAGCACUCCUGCCAGGAGCCACAGAAGUGACCUACGUCUUUGAAACUCUUAAGAAGAGGGGAAAAGAGCUACAAAUUGUGCUUACUGCUUUCUACCCUGCUUACUGUAAUUUUUAUUAGUGUUGAUACUUGUAAUAAUAUUGCCACCACUACUGUUUCAAAUACUACUAGAAUUUAUGGGCUCUAGUUCUUCUUAAAUAGUUUCCCAUGGAUAUAUUAUGAAAGUAAAAUAUGCAAAUGGAAAAAUAUAACUGUACCAAAGCAUAUAGAAUGGAG
rnacentral:lncRNA from 1 species